UUCUUGUGCCAUCAAGCUUUAACCCCUUUCGUGCCAUGGACGAGCUGGGUUCGUCCGCACGUUUCUGGUGAAAGCGGCCAAGGGCACGAUCAGCUCAUCGACGGUAGUUUUCAUUUUCUAGUAAUGUCAUGAACCAGCUCGCCUAGCCUGAGUACUUUGUCGUGCUUCUGUUAGAUGGCAGCACACAAUCCGUGGGGAAGC
rnacentral:lncRNA from 1 species